CAGCCAGCGCUCUCUAGAAUAUCUAGUUUGAAAGAAAACUGAGAAGUGUCACCUCCAGGACGAUGUGACAAUCUGUAUGCAGAACAGGUUAAACAAAAUACUAGGAGAGAAUCCUACAAUUUAAAUAAGGCAUUGAAUGGUUCCAUUUAAGAUAGUUUAGAUGCUAACCUGUUUACAGGACAACUUCAAAACAACUGGGGAUUAACACUGCUCCAUUCCCCUCCCCCAGGCUCAUCUGAAUUCUAAGUAUAGACCCAUGAUGAAAGAUUUCAAAGGCAAUAGCCAUUGCUCCAAAAUAGCCUGGUUAGUAUUUGCAGAGUGGUUCAGCUCUUUUCUCUGUCCUGCCUGUCAAAAAGAUGCCAUUCCUGUGAUUAAAACUAUUACAGUCCUUCAAAGGUUAUACAUGACUUUCAGGCUUCAGCCUCAAUAGCAGCAGAUGGUACUAAUUUGAACACAUCAUUCCAUGCUUCCUGGAGUAAUCACACAGCUUGCUUAGAUUUUCUAAACAUGACUGAACUGUGAUGAAGCGAUCAACAUUCACUGGCAAGCAAAACUGCCUUACAGGGUGAAACACUGUGGUGAAAAUGCCCACAGCAAAGAUUCUUACUUAGAACCAUUAAAUGUAUCCCCAUGUAUGAACUUCUGCUUUGAAGAAGGUGGAAGAGAUGUUUUAAUCCUACUCCUUCCACUAAAUGCAAUUAAAACCACGGACAUUAAAUAUAAUGCAAGCAUAAGAAGACUCUGAAAGAUGGAGAGAAGGCAGAGCAACUAGGGAAAUCAGGACCCAAGAAACAAUACAGUGGCAACUAUAAUGGCUUUUACACUUUCAGCAAUUACUUACUGUUCUCUAAGACUCUGCUCCUGUCCAAUAAUCAAGAUCAUUUUACCUGAUGCUAAAAAACCUGAUGCAGACCAUCUGCCUGGAUUUGAACAUAUUUCCUUCUGCCAGAUUUUGCAUAGCAAUGGUCUGCUACCCACCUACUGGGGAAAUACCUAUCACUCCUUUUGGACCUCUUUGACACUGCCUGUCCUGGCUGCGACAUAUCACCAGCAAUCAGAGUUCAUGGGUAACCUACUCAAGCACUUCCCAUAACUUGCAGAGCAUCAGAUUACCUAGAGAGAUGACUGAAAGUACAGGUUUGGGCAUCACCUCUUUAGGCUAUGAUUCAGCAAGUCUGGGGUGAAGUCCAGGAAUCUGUGGCUUUAAAGGUUGGCAUGUCAUUGAAGAAUUUCACACACACACACACACACACACACACACACACACACUUAAAUUGGGCUUUUAAGAAUGAAUACAAUUCUGUGUGACAUACAAAAGGAAAAGGACAAUAUAACUACAGGAAGUAAAGCAAUUUGAUGGUGAGAAAGUGUUGAGUAUGUUUAAAAUAGAAAAUCUAAUCAAUUAUUAGCCCAUAGCAAGUAGCAAGUGCUUAAUAACUGUUCUUUUAAUUGAAUACAUGAAAUCUAAUGUACUGAAAAAAAAAAACAAAAUUUGGCUAGAGGCAUAGGGUAGAUGAGGAAAUGUAGUGGAGGGACAUAAGAAUGAAAACAUAGACAGAAGCCAGAUUCUAACUGGUGAUAAAUUCUGGGAUGCAUUUUCUAGACAAGAAUAAGUAAAACAUUUGGAGUAUUCUGAGCCAUAUCCUAUACCUUGUGCUUUUCAUUCUUAUCUCUAUGCUUCAAAUACCUGAAUCUGCAUGUCUCACUUUUACCCUCAGAUAAUGAACUUCAACCGCCAACACAUAAAUGCUCUAAACUGUGUAUUUGAAACAAUUCAAAGAAAGUAAGUGGGUACGAAGAAAAGACUGAUGGGCAGACUGGAUGAGCGUGGGUGGUAAGGCUACUUUAGGAUAUUUUUACAGGAAGCAACAACAGGCUGAUGUAAAAUGGGGCAGUCACGUUGGAGAAGAAGGAACAAAUUGGAGAGCCAUGGCAGAGACUGAACUGAUAAGAUCUAAUCAUAUGCAGGAAAAAUGGGAGAAAGUUCACAUAAAAAUAUGAAGCUUGGUAUCCAAAGGAUUACAAAGUACAGGCAUAGAAAAGGGGAAGAGAAGAAUUCAUGUAGCAUAAAUUCCAUUUUGCAGAUAUUGGGGUUGAUACACCAACCAGUUCCUCGGCUAAAAUUUUCGAACAAUUUGCGGGGUGGGGGGGUUAUGGAAAGAAAGAGAAUGAAAUUCAGGAGAAAGUAGAUUGAACUGAUGGACUAAUGUUCUAGAGGAGAUAUGAUACUGAAACAAAAAAAUAAGCAGCUACCUUCCUGAAAAGAAGGCAAUGACAUCCCUGAGAGAGGAUAUCUUGAGAGCAUAAAGAUAUGAGUAAAUAUGAAGGAGGGCAAGUCAGUAUCACUGAUAUUAUUAAGAAAAUCACAUCAAAUAUAGAUGACAGUGUGGGCAGAUUAUGUUCAGAAUGAGAGCAGAAUUCUCCUAUGGAAAAUCAAUAGAGUGUAAACAAACAAAUUGAUAUAGAAGAUUAUGGGGUAGCUAGGAGAGUUAGAGAAGGUGAAGUUAUAGCUGGAAAAGGUAAACCACUUCUGUUUUGUAUAGCACUAUUUAUCAGCCAACAUCUGGUGAAAACAGUGGAAUCCCCUCAGAAUGGGAAAAACCCCUAGAAGAUGAAUCACAAUGGCAUGGUUUGAGAUCUAAGGAGCAAAAGAUAGGUGUUGCUGAGAAGCAUCUAUUCCAGCUGAACAAGAACACUGAAGUCUGACGAAGUGUUGCACUGGAAGGAUGAUAAGGAAAAAAUGUUGAUGAGGAUGUGGAAACCAGGGAGAAGGUACACCAUGUCUUGAAAUUCUGUGGUUUACUACCUCAAGGAUAGAGGAGUGGAGUAAAAUUGGGUGAUGCUGAUUUCAAAAGGAGGAAAGAAUUAGAAGAUGUUUCCAAAAUAAUGGAUCUGGAUGUGCCAGAAGUAAACAAUUAUGCCAUUACCCACAGUCCCUAUAAGGGAGGACUUCCAGGGAAGUAGUACUAUCAGGAAGGAAUCAGACUUACAUUGAUAUGAGCAGGUACAAUAUUGGAGAAGGUAGAAGGAGAAAGGAAAUUAUACGGUAGGUCAGACCACUGUUAGGGAAGACAAGCGUUUUCUUCUUUGUAGACUAGACUUAAUGACCAGAUAUUUUCAUUCAAAUACUAUACAAGACAAGGGCUGAUGUAUAGGAAAAGAAAUCGAUGAAAGAGAGUUUGACACUGCAGCUCUGGAAUUCAGGAAAGCAUCUAGAGUUCCAUAAAAUCAAUUAAAUAAAAAAGAGAUAAAUAUCAAAACAUUUACAUGUUCACUCCAUAUUUUAAUUUAUGAUAAAGAAUAAUUCAGUAAGUUCAUAGUUUGGAUAAUAAGACAUAGAUAUGUGUGGAAACACAGUAGAGCAGAUUUUCUCUCCUUUUCCUCUUUUUAGUCUCCCCAUGUUGUGGAGAUGGAUCAAUAUACUACAUAACCAGUAUUCUGUAACACAUGUCAUAAAAAUGUAUGUGUUACAUUUUAAAAUAUUUCUUUCAUAUCUUUAGAUAAAUGUGCU